rnacentral:lncRNA from 1 species
AGACUUUGGAGAUCUCACAAAUAAAUAGAAUGUGAAAUCCUCAUUUAGACAAACCAGCUAUAGAAGACUUCUUGGGGACAGCUGGAAAAAUGGCCUAUAAUUUUACUUAGUGGGGAGGAAGAUGAAAUGGAUCUAUGCUGUCUUAUCUAGACUGGAGGUCCCAAGUGAUAUUUCACAAAGGUGCAAAAGCAAUUCAGUGGAAAAAGAAUGACAUUCUCAACAAUGGUCCAUAUAGUGGAUGUCUGCAUACAAAAAAAGAGGAAGGGAUAGUCAUCCUGGAGCCAAAGCAAGACUCAGUACUGAAAGACCAGGGAUUUAGUGUGAAUGAAGGAAGGGCUUUGGUCCCACUGGCCUCCAAGUAUGCCAGAGCAUCACAGUAAGAACUGUGGAUCCUGAGCACCAUGUCAGCAUAAUACCCUCAAGGUCCAUCCAUGUUGUCACAAAUGGCCAGAUUCCAUCAUUUCUUAUGGGUGAGUAGUAUUUCACUGUGUAUAAAUACCACAUCUUCCUUAUCCAUUCAUCCAUUGAUGGGCAGCUAGGUUGCUUCCAAGUCUUGGCUAUUGUGUAUAAUGCUGCAGUGAACAUAGGGCUGCAAGUAUCUUUAUGCCUUUGCACUUUCAAGUUCUUUGGAUAAAUACCCAGCAGUGGGAUAGCUGGAUCACAUGGUAGAUUUAUUCUUAAUUUUCUGAGGAAACUCCAUACUGCUUUCCAUAGUGGCUGCACUAGUUUGCACUCCCAC